AUUGAACGCUGGCGGCAGGCCUAACACAUGCAAGUCGAGCGGUAGCACAGAGAGCUUGCUCUCGGGUGACGAGCGGCGGACGGGUGAGUAAUGUCUGGGAAACUGCCCGAUGGAGGGGGAUAACUACUGAAACGGUAGCUAAUACCGCAUAACGUCGCAAGACCAAAGAGGGGGACCUUCGGGCCUCUUGCCAUCGGAUGUGCCCAGAUGGGAUUGGCGAGUAGGUGGGGUAACGGCUCACCUAGGCGACGAUCCCUAGCUGGUCUGAGAGAAUGACCAGCAGCACUGGAACUGGGAGACGGUCCGGACUCCUGCGGGAGGCAGCAGUGGGGAAUAUUGCACAAUGGGCGCAAGCCUGAUGCAGCCAUGCCGCGUGUAUGAAGAAGGCCUUCGGGUUGUAAAGUACUUUCCGCGGGGAGGAAGGCGAUAAGGUUAAUAACCUUGUCGAUUGGCGUUACCCGCAGAAGAAGCACCGGCUAACUCCGUGCCAGCAGCCGCCGUAACAC
rnacentral:rRNA from 1 species